GUUGAGGGCCACUCCCGAGCGGGCGCCCAGUCCCCGGAUCGUCGUCAGCGUCUUGUGCAGGUGCGGGCACGUCUCGGCGUGGACGAUCACCAGCUCGCACCCGGCCUCGACGUAGCGGGCGAGGAGCUCGUCCGGAUUGCUGACCAUGAGAUGCGCCUCGAAGCCCACCGCCGCCCGGGGUCGGCAGGCGGCGAUCACGUCCGGCCCGAAGGUCAGGUUGGGCACGAAAUGCCCGUCCAUCACAUCCCACUGGAUGCGGUCGACGCCGGCCUUCUCGAGCGCCGCGACGUCGUCGCCGAGGCGCGAGAAGUCAGCCGGCAGAACAGAG
rnacentral:misc_RNA from 1 species